rnacentral:rRNA from 1 species
UACGGAGGGGGCGAGCGUUAUUCGGAAUUAUUGGGCGUAAAGGGCGCGUAGGCGGCUUGAUGUGUCAAAGGUGAAAGCCCUCGGCUCAACCGAGGAAUUGCGCCCAAAACUACUGCACUAGAGGAAGACAGAGGUACGCGGAACUUAGGGUGGAGCGGUGAAAUGCGUUGAUAUCCUAAGGAACACCGGUGGCGAAAGCGGCGUACUGGGUCUUAUCUGACGCUGAGGCACGAAAGCUAGGGGAGCGAACGGG